GACGAACGCUGGCGGCGUGCUUAACACAUGCAAGUCGAACGGAAAGGCCCUGCUUUUGUGGGGUGCUCGAGUGGCGAACGGGUGAGUAACACGUGAGUAACCUGCCCUUGACUUUGGGAUAACUUCAGGAAACUGGGGCUAAUACCGGAUAGGAGCUCCUGCUGCAUGGUGGGGGUUGGAAAGUUUCGGCGGUUGGGGAUGGACUCGCGGCUUAUCAGCUUGUUGGUGGGGUAGUGGCUUACCAAGGCUUUGACGGGUAGCCGGCCUGAGAGGGUGACCGGCCACAUUGGGACUGAGAUACGGCCCAGACUCCUACGGUAGGCAGCAGUGGGGAAUAUUGCACAAUGGGCGGAAGCCUGAUGCAGCAACGCCGCGUGCGGGAUGACGGCCUUCGGGUUGUAAACCGCUUUCGCCUGUGACGAAGCGUGAGUGACGGUAAUGGGUAAAGAAGCACCAGCUAACUACGUG
rnacentral:rRNA from 1 species